GGCCGAGUAAGUAGCAGCAAUGAACGGGAGAAAUCGAUUUGAACGAGAGCGAUUGAGCGAACCAGACGCCUCGAUCUCCUAUCUCCUCUCUAUCUUGUCGAUUGAAUUCUCCAAAGAUGGAUAAUGAUUCGGUUUCAGAUUUGCAACGGCAACAAAAACAACGUGUAACAGGGCGUGCGUCACCCCUGUUCUUGUCGACAUCGGAGCCUUGUUUUCGUUGUCAUCAUCGCCUGUUCUCGUCACCUCUUCUCUUGUCACACUUCGACUUGCAGAUGAGUACAAGGUCUUUUUGCCGAUUUCUAGAGUUGUUUAUAGAUGAGUUUCUGAGUCUCUUUUCGUUGACAUCUAUGAUGCCACCAAUUUUGUUGACUUGGAGGGGAUAAUAAUUGAAUAAAGUCAUCAAACCCUAUGUGUCCUCUUUUUUAGCAACAACUUUGGAUUUCAAGAAUGCUUUCCAUAGUGACAUUCUUGGGGAGUAUUAGGUGGAGUUUUGUUCCUAAAUAAUAAAAGGAUGUUUUUUGAAA